rnacentral:rRNA from 1 species
UACGAAGGUCCCUAGCGUUAUCCGGAUUUAUUGGGUUUAAAGGGUGCGUAGGCGGGCUUUUAAGUCAGUGGUGAAAGCCUCAAGCUUAACUUGAGAAUUGCCAUUGAUACUGAUGACCUUGAGUACAUUUGAAGUGGGCGGAAUGUGUCAUGUAGCGGUGAAAUGCUUAGAUAUGACACAGAACACCGAUUGCGUAGGCAGCUCACUAAACUGUAACUGACGCUGAGGCACGAAAGCGUGGGGAGCAAACAGG